UAUAUAUAUAUUUACAUAAAUAUAUAUUUACAUAUAUAUAUAAAUAUAUUUUUUAAUGCUCAGGAUAGUUCCAUAUUGUUUCGUUUCUUGGUUCCUUCUAAUAAAUUCAAUGAGAUUCAUAAUUUCCUCACUUUUAUUUAGGAAGGAGUUGGGGUCUGUUUUGAAUGCUUUCUAGGAUAAAACAGCAGAACGGAUCGAAAGUGUGGUGGAAGGAUAAUGGGAAUAGGAGGCAGAGAACUUGCACAUUCCUAUUUCCUGCUGAGAGAUCUUGGAAAAACAUGGUCUUCCCUUUGCCUCAGUUUCUUAAUAUACAAAACGGAACCACUGUCAACCCCCUGUGUGCCACAGAGGGUUAUUUGAGCACCAAAUGAGAUCGUAACUGUUGACAUGCUCUGUGAGCUGUACAAGGCCAGACAAACAGAUAGAGCCCACUCUCUGGGCAGUGCACGUGACACGCAGUCUUGUUGGGCCCUGAGCUGAGAGACUGAGAGCCGCUCUUGAGACGUGCCAUGUUUUAAGGCGUAUCUUCCUUACAUUGUUGUUGGUGUCUGGUUUUUAGAUGUUUUGCCAUUAGCAUUUUUCACUUUGAGUAUCUAGUGACGGAGAAUGCUUUAAAAAAUACAAGCAGACGGGGAGGGGGAUGCUUUACUUAUUUAGGUUCAUCAUUGGAAAGGGACAGUUAGAUUUUGUUUUCAGGCUUGGAACCCUGAACAUUUUGUAGCAAAAUGGCAUCGCCUGCUGCAUUUAAUUCCUUGCCAGCCACUCUUGCUUUCAAAAGAUUCUGUCAAUUUCAACAUAAUGUUUUGUAAAAUAAGAGUCUAUGAAGCUUCCUCUAUAAAUUUGGUGGUAUAACUAAUCUUUCAGGAAGCCUCUGAAGGGAUAAUGAUUUUUAAGUGGUAUCCUAUUCUUUCCAGGACCAGCAUUUGUACAUGGGGAAAUAAGACAGGUGAAGAGCAAUGCUAGACCCCUCCUUUAAUCGGUUUGAGUGCCAGUAAAUAGGUGUAAGUGGGAUUCCCACUGAGAAAUGUGUUUGAGUGAAAAUGAAACCCUUGGUAAUGAAUCCUGAGGCCAGAAUGUCAACUUCACAGUAUUCUGUCAUCUAUAGCCCCUAAAAACAUCCCAGGUAUUUGUGAUGACAGCCACUGAUAUAAGCUCUCUGUAGUUGUGAAUACAUGGCAAGUAAAAUUUUCUCAAAUGUUAUUUUUCAUAGAUCUCCAGGUGACAAUCAUGUGCAUUGUAUCCGACAAAAUUCUGUGAAUGAUUUUCUAGAAGUAUUUUGAUCGCUCCAGAAAGAAAUCAGCAUAAAGCUGCAUACCUAAAAUCCUAAGAAAUUCAUAAGUAUUUUUCUCAAGUUCAGGCUGCCUCAGCUUCUCUUUUCUCUCUUUACCUUUUACCUCAUAGAGAGGCAAUCUUGAUGGCAAAAGGUUGGGCUCAAUUUUUGUUUGUCUUAUGUAGAAAAGCAACACCUCUGUUCUGGACCACUCUCCAGUAGACAAAAAACAUCCCAGCUUUCGAAAUGAGAGUCCAAAUUGGGUUACCACUGGGAUUUUAAAUUAUGAUGUGAAAUUGGAGAAGGCAAGCUGCUUCAGAGUGAAGUUUCAUAAUUUAUUCCGAUAAUCUGGAGGGGAUGAUCUCCUUCACAGCACUGUUAAAGCCUGCCUUGAACAAGCUCAUUUCACUACAUAACUUCCUAGAGACAAGACUGAUUAUUUAAGGAUUUCAGAGGUAUCAUUUGGGGAAUAACUCACCAGAUAGAGAAAGUUUGAUCUAAUAUGUUAACAGGCACAAAAUCUAAUAUUUCAAUGCUUUCUCACCCUGCCCCUUCUCUGAGAGUUUAGCCUUUCUUAGGGGCCAUUCUGUCCUUUCCCAGGCUAGAAAUGAUUGAUUGUAUUUCAUGUCCCAAAGUAAAGUCUCCUCCAAGUCCGUUGGACGUGAAGGCAACCAAAAAGACCCAUGUUAUUUUUCUGUCACUUCACAGCAUCGAGGACCUUCUUGUUUAUGUGUGUGGGGUAUGGUGGGUUAGCUUAAGGGAACUGUCAAAUUAAAAUGAAAAGAAAGCAAGUUGGGGCAAGAAAACCCUCACUCUGAAUGUGAAAGAAAAUAGCAGUGUUCUUUUCUGUGGCAAAGAUUUGUGUACUGUUGGGGGAAGAUUCAUUUUAUUUCUCAGGUAGAUUUUACCUUCUGAGAUUCUGCACGCACGUGUGCGCGCACGCGCACGCGUGUGUGUGUGUUGGCUGGUGGGGGGGGUGGAGCCAUAUAAAAUGUAGUUGUUUAUGAGUUUAUACUUUCUCUUUAGCAUAAUAAAUGCCCUGCUUAUUUUCUCAGAAUGUGACCAUAAAAUUUGGAAUUGAGAGGAAUUCAGAGGCCCGUGUCACAGUUCAUGGUAAAGUUUUGCCCAAAUAUUUCCUUCAGAAACAUUUAGUCAUAACAAUCCAAAUCAAUUCUUAUCUGCAACUGGCAUCAGAAAAAGAAAUCAGUAGGUGGGGGCUGUAGACCCUGAUGCUGCAUCUAUUUACAAUCUUUCUUUUCCAAGGUUUUAGGGUUCAUGAUUCACAUAAGGAAAUUUGGGGGGAGCUACCACAUCUGGCAUGCGUUAACUCUGUUCCAUGGGAAAACUAGGAUUGCUUUUGGGCUAAUUUUGUUGGAAAUGGCACACGUACAAAAAGAGACUUUUGGAACAUGUUUUAAGCCUUUCACCUGAGGUCAGCCUCUGCUGAAAGAGUGUUUAGUUUGGUAGGCAUGGUUUCUUGCUUCUCCUACCCCAGGGUGUAAAUUCUGCAGUGAUUCCUGGGUAUAUGUUUUCAGCACCAGGGACAGCAAACAAGCCCCUGAAUUGAAGGGCCGUGCUCUCCUGAUGGACCUCCCAGACCCAGGAAGGGUAAUAUCGUUUUGUUUUCCUUUACUCCCUGUCCACUGGGGCCUCAGCUCAGAAGUCUUCAUUCUUUAGGUGCUUACAUCUUUAAUUUAUUACCAAGCCCAGCUUAGCUGUCUCUGUCACAUUCUUGACCUCCUAACAAGUGGGUUUGGAGUAAGACUCCCAGGUCUGCUGGCUCAGAGAAGCAGAAGGACACUAGACUUCAUUUGAAGGCCAUGCUUUAGAAUAGGCUCCCCCUACAGAAGUCUUUCUAGCAUACCAAUGACUUGUAAACCCCUAAAUGAAAGACUGCUUAUACACAAUCACUUUCCUUUUAAAAUUUCUGCACCUUUCUCACAAUGUACAAGUCUAUGUUUGACUCGAUGUGCAUCUGGAGGCAAUAUUUCACAGCAGUUGAGCAGAAGCUAUGAACUUUGGGGAUGGAAAAGGGCCCAAUGAUGCUGCUGUUAUGCGUUUUGGACACUCAGUGGGGGCACUGCUUUGAUUCUCAGCAUCCACCCUUCAACCCUGAGUGCUCUUCAACAGCUGUUUUUGCCUUAAACAAUCACAAACAGAGAAGAAGGAGCUGCAAAGUGACUGCUAAUGAAGCAAUGAUCUUCUGGCUGGGGGAAAUGUGGCCUGAGACUAGAGAUGCAGAGCCAGCAUCUCUAGAAGGAGAGAUGCUGUCAAUAGAAGAAGCCCCCGGAGGGACCUGGUCAGACAAUACAAUUUUAUAAAGGUUCUCAGUACUUUUUCUGAAAAAAUUCCUAAAAUUUUCAAGGGCACUUCUAGCCCUCUGCCUCUUUAGAGGUGAGCUCAGUGCUACGUCUGGGUUCUUAAGGCAAAUGCCCUACAAACACCAAAGUCUCGUAUUUUCCACUCUCAGCCGGCACUGGCUAAGUGGGAUAUUUUUUCCCUUCCCUAAGUGAAAGGGACUUGUUUUCAGGAGAAGUGUCCUUUAAACAUCCAGCUAAAACUGGAAGUAAUUUUUUGCAUGAAUGGCUUUUUACAGCUAGGUCUAAAGCAGAACAAAACUUGUAUUAAACUAAGUGCUACUUUACAUAUCUUAUUUCAAGGGAAAUGAAGGAUUUAUUGCCGUGUAAAUGAUAUACACUGAUUUGCUUCCUACUGGACAUUACAUGUCCCUUUAUCUUUAGGCUGAUGUGCAGCAAACUUUCAAACUCUGGAAAAUCAGCUGGUACCUACUUCAGUGCAUUACUAGGAUAUUACGUUCCCUGAGAGGAAUUUUCCCAAUGAAGUUUAGGUACUGUUGUAACUGAUUUCCAUCCCCCCUCCCUAAGCUUCUGUACUAAGUAUAUGUAAAGUUACUAUAUCUUGUCUGACCCCAUGUGCUUGUGUGUGUUUCCCAAUGUUUAUAUAAAUAUAUUGGUGAUCGGAAGGGUUAGCUGGAUUACAGCAACUGCUGAACAUGGUGCGUGUGGCAUGUGGCACACCUCAUGCCUGUGCACACCCAUUCUGAGGCCAAGCUAAUUUUACAGGUUUUGAAAUCAAAAAAACAUCAGCAACAAUAACAACAGUGUGGCUUGAAUUGAGGAAAGUUUGACGAUGGAUACAGUAUUGCCAAGUCAUCAUUUAUGGGUGGAGACCUUGACCACAGCAGAGCUGAGGUGUGUUCAACUGGAUCUUAUGUCCUUUGUUUUAAUCCCAAUUGAUCGUUCCUCAUUUGUAUUUUAUGACUUAGAAAUACGCCUACGUGAUGCUUGUUUUUCUCCCAGGCCUCUGGAAAGUGCUGAUCAUGAUUGCUUCCCAUCAUUUGGAUCCCAAAGUUGAUAACUUAGCAUGAGUAACUGAGGCUUUAGUAGAACUGUGUUUUACUAACUGUAUCUCCUCCUUGAGGUGCUGUUCCCUUCAUUCUUUUCCUUUAUGACAGGUGAAUGCAUUGAAUGCAUUGGCUAUGAUAAUUUUAUUUGCAUCCUGGCAAGUUUUAGAGGAUCAAUCUAAUUAAAAUGAUGACUGCGUUUGCCUUUGAAGAAGAGGUUUAUUGUCUAAGUAAAACUCUAUGUGAAGGUGUCCUUUAUGCAAAAAAAAAAAAAAAAAAAAAAAUCCAACUUGAUAAGAUGGCCACAGGUUAGAGGGGUGUGUUCUCAGUUGAUAUUAAGGGAUAUGUUGAAAAGGCAAGUGCCCACCCUUUCUCUAUUCUUCAUGCCCUCCCUUCCUUCUUCCCCAACCUCAAAAGAAAACAGAAAAUUAUUUUUUUAAACUGUAUUAAUAAUUUAUGUUUAAUACAAAAGGCUGAUUUAAUGGUAUCACCAAAGGUCGUUUCUCCCAUUGUGCAUGUCCUUCAGUCUCAGCCCCAUACCCAUCACCCCAUUCUUCACCCUCAUGCUUCCAUCCCAAGGCAAACACGUGUCUUCAUCGGAAUCUAUGGGUGUUGAAAUUAAAUGUGGGGGCAGAGAUUUAACACCAUGGCACUAAUACAAAUCAACCAUUCUUCACUUUCAAAUGGUUAAUUGCUACAGGAAGGCAAACUCUUUCCUUGGUUUUUGUUUAAAAGCAUUUUAUACAUAUAUAUGUAUAUAUGUGUGUGUAUGUAUGGACAUAUGUAUGUAUAUGCACAUGUACAUGUAUAUAUGUAUAUAUCCAUCUUCAAUAUAAAUAUAUCAUAUGUGAGAGUUGUAAAUACUCCUUGGUCAUAUGUCUGUCUUUCUCAUAGUACCACAUCUUCAAUGUUAUCUUAACAACUCCAUUUAUUGAUUGAUGAAAUUGUGUGUAGAACUGUAUCCUCCUGACAUAGUUUAUGUAGGGUCUCUUCUCAAAUAAAGUAUAAAACAACAAUG